UGAAGACCGACGUAUUUACCGAAGACCUC
rnacentral:sRNA from 1 species